rnacentral:rRNA from 1 species
ACGGGUGAGUAACGCGUGGGAAUCUACCCAGUUCUACGGAACAACAUAGGGAAACUUGUGCUAAUACCGUAUACGCCCUACGGGGGAAAGAUUUAUCGGAAUUGGAUGAGCCCGCGUAAGAUUAGCUAGUUGGUGGGGUAAUGGCCUACCAAGGCGACGAUCUUUAGCUGGUCUGAGAGGAUGAUCAGCCACACUGGGACUGAGACACGGCCCAGACUCCUACGGGAGGCAGCAGUGGGGAAUAUUGGACAAUGGGCGCAAGCCUGAUCCAGCCAUGCCGCGUGAGUGAUGAAGGCCUUAGGGUUGUAAAGCUCUUUCAGUGGGGACGAUAAUGACGGUACCCACAGAAGAAGCCCCGGCUAACUUCGUGCCAGCAGCCGCGGUAAUACGAAGGGGGCUAGCGUUGUUCGGAUUUACUGGGCGUAAAGCGCACGUAGGCGGAUCGUUAAGUCGGGGGUGAAAUCCUGGAGCUCAACUCCAGAACUGCCUUCGAUACUGGCGAUCUUGAGUCCGGAAGAGGUGAGUGGAACUCCUAGUGUAGAGGUGGAAUUCGUAGA